GACGAACGCUGGCGGCGUGCUUAACACAUGCAAGUCGAACGGAAAGGCCCUGCUUUUGUGGGGUGCUCGAGUGGCGAACGGGUGAGUAACACGUGAGUAACCUGCCCUUGACUUUGGGAUAACUUCAGGAAACUGGGGCUAAUACCGGAUAGGAGCUCCUGCUGCAUGGUGGGGGUUGGAAAGUUUCGGCGGUUGGGGAUGGACUCGCGGCUUACCAGCUUGUUGGUGGGGUAGUGGCUUACCAAGGCUUUGACGGGUAGCCGGCCUGAGAGGGUGACCGGCCACAUUGGGACUGAGAUACGGCCCAGACUCCUACGGGAGGCAGCAGUGGGGAAUAUUGCACAAUGGGCGGAAGCCUGAUGCAGCAACGCCGCGUGCGGGAUGACGGCCUUCGGGUUGUAAACCGCUUUCGCCGGUGACGAAGCGUGAGUGACGGUAAUGGGUAAAGAAGCACCGGCUAACUACGUG
rnacentral:rRNA from 1 species